rnacentral:rRNA from 1 species
ACGAAGCUGUACCGAAAGGAGCAGUGGAUUUUAAGAAGAGAGAAUGCCGGAAUGAGUAGCGAGAAAGAGUGAGAAUCUCUGCCGAAUAUCUAAGGUUUCCAGGGUAAAGCUGAUCUGCCUGGGUAAGUCGGGGCCUAAGGCGAGGUCGAAAGACGUAGUCGAUGGAUAACAGGUUGAAAUUCCUGUACUAUCCUGUAACAGAACUGUGGGGGACGCAGACAGAGAGCACAAGCCGGGAAUGGAAAGACCGGUGCAAGCGAGGUAGGAGUACAUCAGGCAAAUCCGGUGUGCAAUCCGAAGACGUGAUGCGGAUCGAAAAGAAGUAGAGAAGUGUGUGAGCUGGCUGCCAAGAAAAGCCGCUAUUGUUUACAGGAUACCCGUACCGUAAACCGACACAGGUGGAUGAGGAGAGAAUCCUAAGGCCGACGGGAGAAGCAUUGUUAAGGAACUCGGCAAAAUGACUCCGUAACUUCGGGAGAAGGAGUGCCAUGCGAAUGGCCGCAGAGAAUUGGCCCAAGCAACUGUUUAGCAAAAACACAGGUCUAUGCGAAACCGAAAGGUGAGGUAUAUGGGCUGACGCCUGCCCGGUGCUGGAAGGUUAAGGGGAGAGGUUAGCGCAAGCGAAGCUUUGAACUUAAGCCCCAGUAAACGGCGGCCGUAACUAUAACGGUCCUAAGGUAGCGAAAUUCCUUGUCGGGUAAGUUCCGACCCGCACGAAAGGCGUAAUGAUUUGGGCACUGUCUCAACAAUGCACCCGGUGAAAUUGAAAUACCAGUGAAGAUGCUGGUUACCUGCGCCAGGACGGAAAGACCCCAUGGAGCUUUACUCUAGCUUGAUACUGGGAUUCGAUAUUGCAUGUACAGGAUAGGUGGGAGACUAGGAAGUGGUGACGCCAGUUGCCAUGGAGUCAAUGUUGGGAUACCACCCUUGCAGUAUUGGGUUUCUAACCAGCAGCCGUGAUCCGGCUGGGGGACAAUGUCAGGUGGGGAGUUUGACUGGGGCGGUCGCCUCCGAAAGGGUAUCGGAGGCGCUCAAAGGUUCCCUCAGAAUGGUUGGAAACCAUUCGAAGAGUGCAAAGGCAGAAGGGAGCUUGACUGCGACACCGACGGGUGGAGCAGGUACGAAAGUAGGACUUAGUGAUCCGGUGGUAUAAAGUGGGAUUGCCAUCGCUCAACGGAUAAAAGCUACCCUGGGGAUAACAGGCUUAUCACUCCCAAGAGUUCACAUCGACGGAGUGGUUUGGCACCUCGAUGUCGGCUCAUCGCAUCCUGGGGCUGUAGUCGGUCCCAAGGGUUGGGCUGUUCGCCCAUUAAAGCGGUACGCGAGCUGGGUUCAGAACGUCGUGAGACAGUUCGGUCCCUAUCCGGCGUGGGCGUAGGAUAUUUGAGAGGAGCUGCCCUUAGUACGAGAGGACCGGGGUGGACUGGCCGCUGGUGUAUCUGUUGUAUUACCAAGUGCAUAGCAGAGUAGCCAAGCCGGGAAGGGAUAAACGCUGAAGGCAUCUAAGCGUGAAGCCCCCCUCAAGAUGAGAUAUCCCAUAACGUCAAGUUAGUAAGACCCCUUGAAGACGACGAGGUAGAUAGGGCAGAGGUGGAAGUGUGGUAACACAUGGAGCUGACUGUUACUAAUAGGUCGAGGGCAUAACCA